CCUCCACCGCUUAAUACACGACGCUUCUUCUCUACUUUUCUUCUUCAUCUCCGGCUUUAUAGAUUCGGGGUUGUCACCGCCAAAGCUUCCGGUUCACGCCUUCCACAUCUAUCGUUGUUCCUUUUUAAAGAAACAGACGAUGCUUUCUUGACUGCCUCCUCUACCUGUGUAAUGUUAGAACCGACGAUCCCAUCGUCGAUGAAGUCAAUCUCGCAAAUCAAGCUUUUCUCAUUGUUAAUCAGCACCUGCUCCACCGCGUGUGCACAAUCUCUGGUACCCAUCGAUGCAGACGACACCAUCUCUUUACCUCCACCGCCUCACAUGGCUUUCGAUUGUAGAUUAUUUAUGAAGACACACAGGGCGAAAAUCGAUUCCCUGGGAGUUGUUGAUGCGCCUCCGGUAUACAGCUUCUGGAUCUGGAAACGAAAUCGCAUUCAUUUCCAGAUUUUAUAUGUGUUUUCAUUUCUAAAUUCGAUUUAUUAGAGAAACAAUUUUUGGUGACUCUUCAACAUGAAGCAAACCUAUUGAAAUGUUACAUACCUGGUUGAAAACCAUUGGAGGAUACUACCAGUGGUGCCCAAUACAGUCAUAAAUUCGAUUUAUUAGAGAAGGUUGAUGACAAAAAACUAAUGAAGAUGGAAGGCUUAAUUGUUGUCAAAUACAUUGUAAGAGGGAAGAAAACUUUAACUAAUUUUCGCUCCCCCUUAUGCUCCGAUAACAUCAUUUUUCUCUCCUGUAGUCGAACCAUAACUACAUAUAUGUGAUUGAGAUGAUUUUAGGGCAAAUCAAACCUUAAAUUUUUGUUGCGUCCAAACACAAUGGGUUGCUUCUUCAACAUCAGACCUGCACAGAGUGGUCUUUACCGGCUUCCUUCUCACUGUCUAUGCUUUUUGAUUUAGGUCUUGAAUUGCGCCUCAACUGCCCACUUAUCGCCUAUGAAUUCAUCCUCAACCUAAUGAGAUUUACAUCCUUUCUGUUCGUGGUGGAUUUAGACCUCUCAGAGAACAAACCUGGCUUCUUAAAAAGGUAAAUUUUUCUUCAUUUAUGGUUGAAAUGUCUGGAAUAUUGAUGUAGGAUGAAAUUUUUCGUGUUCCUCAAUGCCAACAGUAUUGUGUAGGCAAUUUUAAAAGUUGGGAUCCUAUGAUAACCACCCUUCUGGAUUGUAAGUUUCACCAUGGUUUUAGAUUUUUUGCGGCUAAUUUUCCAUUUGUUCAUUCUUUUGGUAGAUUUUACUAAAAGUUCUUUAUAGGCUUGUAGUUGUUGGAUAUUGUUUACAUUGAAAUUGCAAAUCGAUUUUCAGCCCUGUUUCCUUUUUUCCAGUUGAUUCCUGUUUAGAUAAAUGAUGUAUGGAGAGUAUAUGAGAAAAUGAUGGCAUAGUUCGGGAAAACUAGAAUUUAUAUUUUUUUAUUAUAAUCUUAUUUUGGUUUUAAUGAGAUUGCAUUUUGGUUCAUGAUAUAAUCAAAUCUUUAAAGCCAUCACUUACAGUAGUUCUUGCUAUGUAUCUUAUGUGUCUCAAGAAUAUGUUUUUGGUGAAGUUAUCUUCAUUUAUUGGUAAAGGUUUUUUUUCCCCAAUGAUUGUUUUAUGGACAUAUGAUGUUUAAAAAAAUAACUGAGAGAAUGAUGGCAUAUUUGGGAAUUAGUAGGAAAAAAUUAAACGAGGGUAAAUUUGUAAAAAGCUAUGACUUACAUCAAUAGAAUUUAUUUAGGCUAAAUAGAACUCGAGUUGCCGGUUCCUUUUGAUAAGUUCACUCUAUUUGCAGAAAGUAUGCAAUCCCAUUUGCCAAAUCCUUUCAGCAAUAAACGAAACUAUGUUAUAAGGUAAUUAAUUACUUUUUUUCAUUAAUUACCAUUUUAAUGUUGCUUAUAUCUUGCAAAAGUUAUGAUGUAGUAUUUCGAGUGGAUGCAGUGCAUAUGGAUUUUACUAAACUGAUGAACUUUUUUUUUUAGUGUAAGCUGAUUUGUGCAUUGGUUAGGACAGAAAAUUGAAGAAUUUGGAGUUACAUUAUGCAUAGCUAAAGCGGGUAAUAUGGUAGUGUUUGGUAUAUUGGAAUCAAGGAAGAAAUGGAAUGGUUCAUUCCAUUGGAUCCAUUCUUCAGCAAGUUACGCCAGUGUAACAUGGCCAACUUUAACCUAAAUAUAAUAUAUCUUUAUCUUUAAGUUAAUAUGUUUUUUGUAUGUUAUAUACGAAUUUAAAAUUCUAGUAGCUUGAAAGCGGAGCUGAAUAUAGUAUUUCAGUGAGCAUGACCUUCAAGCAAACGAGCUUUUGCUUUGUAUGCAGUCACUUGGUAUUAGGAGAGAAAGAAUGAGACAACCUUCAAAGGAAUUCAGAUGUUAUUGAGAUACUUAAAAGACAUUUUACUUUCUUUGAGUCUUUCAUUUUUUUGUAUUAAAAUUGCAUUGUAUGCAUUUGCUAUGUACGUCACAUCCAACCCAUGCAAAGCAUGGGCACCUACACUAGUUGUUAUUAUUAUUAUUAUUAUUAUUAUUAUUAUUAUUAUUAUUAUUA